GGAUGAGCUUCUCUGUGGCAAUGAUUCUGCCUUGCAUGCAGAAGGUCCCAGGUUCAAUCCCUGGCAUCUACA